UACGGAGGGGGCUAGCGUUGUUCGGAAUUACUGGGCGUAAAGCGCACGUAGGCGGCUUUGUAAGUUAGAGGUGAAAGCCCGGGGCUCAACCCCGGAAUUGCCUUUGAGACUGCAUCGCUAGAAUUGUGGAGAGGUAAGUGGAAUUCCGAGUGUAGAGGUGAAAUUCGUAGAUAUUCGGAAGAACACCAGUGGCGAAGGCGACUUACUGGACACAUAUUGACGCUGAGGAACGAAAGCCAGGGUAGCGAAAGGG
rnacentral:rRNA from 1 species